GACAUGGGAGCCUAAUCAGACAAAAGGAAAGAACUCAUACUCCAUCUCUGAAAGUAGUGUUUAUCAUGUCUCUCCUGCUGGGUGUGACAAGGAGGCAUGGACCUCUGAUUACCACUGGCCACCAUCUGAGACCACAGGGGAACCAACUUGAAAAUGAAAUUGACACUGAGGAGAGCACAGGGAUAGAAUGAAUCUGGGCCCUUGGCAACAUCAUUGACUUCAAGUAUGCAAACUCUCUGCAUUCUUUGCUCCUGCGUAAAUGGACUGGCAAGACUCAGCCUCGGGGCACCUUACAAUCAGCGGUUCCUCAAAAUGAGAAGAUAAGAAGGGACCCAGCAUGGAUCCCAGGGGGAAUGAGUUGUCACAGAUCUCUCAUAUGUCCCUCAUGUGCAGCAUCUUGAGGUAAAAAAAAGACCAUGUUGUGAACUGUUUCUCUAAUUGGAAACUACCAUCAAUAAAACUUAUUUAUUCAA